rnacentral:rRNA from 1 species
AUGUGAUCGUCUCUCGCAUAUCAAUAAGCGGAGGAAAAGAAACUAACAAGGAUUCCCCUAGUAACGGCGAGUGAAGCGGGAAGAGCUCAAAUUUGAAAUCUUAAAGGGUUUCCCUUUACGAAUUGUAGCUUAAAGAAGUGUUUUCUGUUGAGGUUUUGGUAAAAGUUCUUUGGAAUAGGACAUCAUAGAGGGUGAGAAUCCCGUAUUUGACCUUUACUUUCAACUUUGUGAUACACUUUCAAAGAGUCGGAUUGUUUGGGAAUGCAGUCCAAAAUGGGUGGUAAAUUUCAUCUAAAGCUAAAUAUUGGCGAGAGACCGAUAGCGAACAAGUACCGUGAGGGAAAGAUGAAAAGAACUUUGAAAAGAGAGUUAAACAGUACGUGAAAUUGUCAAAAGGGAAGCGUUUGACACCAGUGUUGUUUUUCUGAAAAUCAAUUAAAGAACUGUUUAUGCUAAGUUGUUUAGACUUUAUCAGCUAUCUGCUUAGUUUUGAGCUUUUCUUUAAUGCACUUUUCAGUUAACAAGUCAACAUCAAUUUCUUUUGCUGUAAAAAAGCUUGAGGAAGGUGGCUUGAGAUUCGUCUUAAGUGUUUAUAGCCUCUUGCCUAUGCAGUCGGAGAGAUUGAGGUCUGCAGCGUAGAUCCUUCGGGGCUAAAUGCAUUUGUGCUAAGUUAUAGCAUUUUAUAGACAACUUGUUGACUAUGAUUUGUCUUGUAGCUUACUCGCUUAUGUUAUUUUACCUACGCUUAGGAUGUUGAACGCGCACAGAGUCUC